GACGAACGCUGGCGGCGUGCUUAACACAUGCAAGUCGAACGGAAAGGCCCCCAUCUUGGUGGGGGUGCUCGAGUGGCGAACGGGUGAGUAACACGUGGGUGAUCUGCCCUGUACUUCGGGAUAAGCUUGGGAAACUGGGUCUAAUACCGGAUAGGACCAUGGUUUAGUGUCUCAUGGUGGAAAGAUUAUUGUUUUGGUGCAGGAUGAGCUCGCGGCCUAUCAGCUUGUUGGUGGGGUAAUGGCCUACCAAGGCGUCGACGGGUAGCCGGCCUGAGAGGGUGGACGGCGACAGUGGGACUGGGAUACUGCCCAGACUCCUACGGGAGGCAGCAGUGGGGAAUAUUGCAGAAUGGGCGCAAGCCUGAUGCAGCGACGCCGCGUGGGGGAUGACGGCCUUCGGGUUGUAAACUCCUUUCGUUAGGGACGAAGCCGCACUUUUUUUGGGUGUGGUGACGGUACCUUUGUUAAGAAGCACCGGCUACCUACGU
rnacentral:rRNA from 1 species